UCCGCCAAGCUCGGCUCUGUCUCCACUGUUCUUUCUCCUCUGCUCCGGGAGGCUCAGUGAUUGCCACAGCCUCUGUCACCCUGCAGGAACCACUGACAUUCAGGGAUAUGGCCUCAGAAUUCUCUCCAGAGGAGUGGACAUGCCUAGAUUCUACUCAGAGCACUUUGUAUAGGGAUGUGAUGUUAGAAAACUACAGAAACCUGAUCUCUCUGGGUCUUGCUGUGUCUAACCCAGACCUGAUCAUCUGUCUGGAGUAGAGGAAAGAGCCCUGGAAUGUGAAGACACACGAGAAAGUAGCCAAACCCCAGGUAUUGAGAGUCCUGGAACUGGGUUCAAAGCUGUGGUUCAAAUCCCAGAUGACACUUUGUGCAUGUUAACUUCAUAAAGGAGAGCUUGGAAGAGUGAAGCAUAAACAAUAAUACUUUAUUAUUCGUCAGCCCUAAAGUCUCUCCUGAAUUUGUAUCCUGUGUGGCAGAGAGAGCCAAACUCCCCAAGAGUUCAAUCCUUGCCCCAGAUUUGUUUACUUUUGCUUGGUUGCCCCUCCUGUCUUUGUUUCAUUUAAAAUAAUAAUAAUAAAAGAACAGGUGAAGUGGAGACUCCCAAGAAAAGGGUCCCACCAACUCCCUAGGACUGGCACUGUGGGCUCAAGUAGGUUUUCAAAGCUCUAGGUCAGAAUUAAAAACAGCAUUCACACAAGUUUUUUGGACACUCAUUUUCCUUCUUUUUUUUUUUUUUUUGAGAAUAUGUUAUUUUAAUGUUUCUCCUUCCAUUGGUUCAUAUGAUGCAGGUAUGAGGCAAAUGUUAGCAUGCUUUCUUAAGGUUUAAACAUAACC